AAUUAAUCUGGUUUUAAGGAAAUGAUGCGCGCUCUCUCUUGAUUCCUUUAUAAGCUUCACCACCGUUUCUCUCUUGUCCUCUCCCAGGCCACUCCUCACUUUCCCACCCUUACCAACCCCGUUCCGUUUAUUUCGCCCUCUCCAAACAACGGUUUUACGAUUUCUUCAGUUUCAGCUUUCGUAAAUCGAUAGCUCUAUCACGGUGGUUGAUAUGUAAACAUUUUUCCUUUUUUUCUCCUUAGAAAGGUGCUUGCCCAAGAGGAAAGAGAAGGAAAUCAGAGCGUUUCGAUUCUCAAAAAUUUGAAGCAAGAUAGAGAAUUUUUUUUUUGUUCUGUUGAAUAUUGGUGUCUGACUGGUGCUAUAUUCGUAUUCAAAGAGAAUCGAUCGUGAUGGCGUCAGCUCUGAUCUCGAAUCAUCCCGUAACCAACUCU
rnacentral:misc_RNA from 1 species